GUGGUUGAUGAUCAUUUGUGCUUUUAUUUCUUUUGUUUUGUUCUUUUUUGUUUUGGCAUCUGUCCAUCCAGUCGAACCGAGCUGCCCGACACACCUCUGGAUCUGCUGCAGCUACCAGAGAGCAUAAGAGUGGAGCGGCUUCGAGUUAGCUCGUCCCCCACCGACUCCUCCCCACAGGCUCAAGGCCAACAGCCAGCGAAGAGCUCUGUAGGGAAGAGUGACCCAGACACUAAAGGCAGAGAGAAAUUCAGCAUCCCCGCCAUCCAAUCAGAGGACAGGAGGAAGCGCGUGCUGAGGUCUGACCCUGAGGGAGCCCCUCCUGAGAGCCGCCGCCGACUGGAGGAGCUCCGGCGCACAGAAGAGGCCGUAUCAGCCUCCUCAGAUCUGGCGAGUGAAAGCGAGGGGGAUGAGGAGGACGAGACGGAGUGGGACGAAGGGGGAGACAGCGACAGAUUAAAGCAAGAAGACAGUGGGGGAGGAGGUAAACAGAGCAGAGGAGACACCCCAACUAGAGGGGAGAGAGUAGGGAGGGUGUACAACGGCCGAGCUGUGAUCCAGCAGCUGAAGACGGCGGCGACCCCGUCUUCGCUACCUGGCAGUCCCAACAUCAAAACCGAACACGAAGCCCUGGCCACUGGAGGGCGGUGGGGGUCCCAAACGCAAACCUCCAACCCGCACACACACAACUCCCAGCCCCCAUCUCACACACCUUCCAGCAGCCUGAACGGCGACAGCCCCACCACCCCGAUCCCAGACUCCUCCUCCAGUAGUGAAGCCCCACCCAAAGGCUUGUUCACCCCUCCCUCUCCUGCUCUGUCCCCGACCAUGCCCGUGUCCUCCCCGCAGCCCAGAGAGGACAGGGUGGUCAGUCGCAGCAGCGGUGUAGGCAACGGCCCCGACUUUGAGCUACUUCAGAGACUGGCAGGCGGUGCAGCAGGGCGGGUCCUCUUCCACCCCCUCGCCCUCGGCCCGCAGGGCCCUCAGAGCCUGUACGCCCCGAGCACUAUCCGAUACGCUCCGCCGGAACUGCCUCCCUCCCACCAUCACAGCACGGGCCACGGUGACGGCCUGCAGCUACGAUCAGACCACCACAAGGGACCCCCACCUACCUUCUUCCCCCACCUGCAGCGGCUGGCCGGCCUACCACCCUUCAGUGGUUUCUCCCCGUCUGACAGCCCCUUCUCCUCCGGCCUGCCUUUCUGUAUGAACGGACUGAGGGGGGCUGCGGGCACGGAGGAGGACUGA
rnacentral:lncRNA from 1 species